rnacentral:rRNA from 1 species
GAUGAACGCUGGCGGCGUGCCUAAUACAUGCAAGUCGAGCGAACGGACGAGAAGCUUGCUUCUCUGAUGUUAGCGGCGGACGGGUGAGUAACACGUGGAUAACCUACCUAUAAGACUGGGAUAACUUCGGGAAACCGGAGCUAAUACCGGAUAAUAUUUUGAACCGCAUGGUUCAAAAGUGAAAGACGGUCUUGCUGUCACUUAUAGAUGGAUCCGCGCUGCAUUAGCUAGUUGGUAAGGUAACGGCUUACCAAGGCAACGAUGCAUAGCCGACCUGAGAGGGUGAUCGGCCACACUGGAACUGAGACACGGUCCAGACUCCUACGGGAGGCAGCAGUAGGGAAUCUUCCGCAAUGGGCGAAAGCCUGACGGAGCAACGCCGCGUGAGUGAUGAAGGUCUUCGGAUCGUAAAACUCUGUUAUUAGGGAAGAACAUAUGUGUAAGUAACUGUGCACAUCUUGACGGUACCUAAUCAGAAAGCCACGGCUAACUACGUGCCAGCAGCCGCGGUAAUACGUAGGUGGCAAGCGUUAUCCGGAAUUAUUGGGCGUAAAGCGCGCGUAGGCGGUUUUUUAAGUCUGAUGUGAAAGCCCACGGCUCAACCGUGGAGGGUCAUUGGAAACUGGAAAACUUGAGUGCAGAAGAGGAAAGUGGAAUUCCAUGUGUAGCGGUGAAAUGCGCAGAGAUAUGGAGGAACACCAGUGGCGAAGGCGACUUUCUGGUCUGUAACUGACGCUGAUGUGCGAAAGCGUGGGGAUCAAACAGGAUUAGAUACCCUGGUAGUCCACGCCGUAAACGAUGAGUGCUAAGUGUUAGGGGGUUUCCGCCCCUUAGUGCUGCAGCUAACGCAUUAAGCACUCCGCCUGGGGAGUACGACCGCAAGGUUGAAACUCAAAGGAAUUGACGGGGACCCGCACAAGCGGUGGAGCAUGUGGUUUAAUUCGAAGCGACGCGAAGAACCUUACCAAAUCUUGACAUCCUUUGACAACUCUAGAGAUAGAGCCUUCCCCUUCGGGGGACAAAGUGACAGGUGGUGCAUGGUUGUCGUCAGCUCGUGUCGUGAGAUGUUGGGUUAAGUCCCGCAACGAGCGCAACCCUUAAGCUUAGUUGCCAUCAUUAAGUUGGGCACUCUAAGUUGACUGCCGGUGACAAACCGGAGGAAGGUGGGGAUGACGUCAAAUCAUCAUGCCCCUUAUGAUUUGGGCUACACACGUGCUACAAUGGACAAUACAAAGGGCAGCGAAACCGCGAGGUCAAGCAAAUCCCAUAAAGCUGUUCUCAGUUCGGAUUGUAGUCUGCAACUCGACUACAUGAAGCUGGAAUCGCUAGUAAUCGUAGAUCAGCAUGCUACGGUGAAUACGUUCCCGGGUCU